rnacentral:rRNA from 1 species
CCUACGGGCGGCAGCAGUGGGGGAUAUUGCACAAUGGGGGAAACUCUGAUGCAGCGACGCCGCGUGUGGGAAGACGGUCCUCUGGAUUGUAAACCACUGUCCCCAGGGACGAAGAUGACGGUACCUGGGGAGGAAGCUCCGGCUAACUACGUCCGAGUCGCCGCGGUAAUAGGUAGGGAGCGAGCGUUGUCCGGAAUUACUGGGUGAAAGGGGAGCGUAGGCGGGACUGCAAGUUGAGUGUCAAAUCUACCGGCUCAACCGGUAGCCGCACUCAAAACUGCAGUUCUUGAGUGAAGUCGAGGCAGGCGGAAUUCCUGGUGUAGCGGUGAAAUGCGUAGAUAUUAGGAGGAACACCAGUGGCGAAGGCAGCCUACUGGGCUUUUACUGACGCUGAGGCUCGAAAGUGUGGGGAGCAAACAGGAUUAGAUACCCCGGUAGUC